rnacentral:rRNA from 1 species
GACGAACCGUGCGAACGUUAUUCGGAAUCACUGGGCUUAAAGGGUGCGUAGGCGGGUUGCCGAAGUCUGUGGUGAAAUCCUCCAGCUUAACUGGAGAACGGCCAUGGAUAGCUGGCGACCUCGAGGGGGGCAGGGGCUUGCGGAACUGGUGCGUGGAGCGGUGAAAUGCGUUGAUAUGCACAGGAACUCCGGUGGCGAAGGCGGCGAGCGGGCCGACACUGACGCUGAUGCGCGAAAGCCAGGGGAGCGAACGGG